GAGGAAGGGCUGGUGACAUGAAGAGGGGUGACGUGACCUGUAGAUACUGAGGAAGUGCUGGUGACAGGAAGAGGGGUGGUGUGACCUGAGGAUGAUGAGGAAGGGAUGGUGACAGGAAGAGGGGUGGCGUGACCUGUGGAUGCUGAGGAAGUGUCGGUGACAGGAAGAGGGGUGGUGUCACCUGUGGAUACUGAGGAAAGGCUGGUGACAGGAAGAGGGGUGGCCUGACCUGUGGAUGCUGAGGAAGUGUCGGUGACAGGAAGAGGCGUGGCGUGAUCUGUGGACACUGAGGAAGCGUCGGUGACAGGAAGAGGGGUGGCGUGUCCUGUGGAUGCUGAGGAAGUGUCGGUGACAAGAAGAGGGGUGGCGUGACCUGUGGAUGCUGAGGAAGGGCUAGUGACAGGAAGAGGGGUGGCGUUGCUG
rnacentral:lncRNA from 1 species